rnacentral:rRNA from 1 species
GGUUAAGCGACUAAGCGUACACGGUGGAUGCCCUGGCAGUCAGAGGCGAUGAAGGGCGUGCUAAUCUGCGAUAAGCGCCGGUAAGGUGAUAUGAACCGUUAUAACCGGCGAUACCCGAAUGGGGAAACCCAGUGUGAUUCGUCACACUAUCAUUAACUGAAUCCAUAGGUUAAUGAGGCGAACCGGGGGAACUGAAACAUCUAAGUACCCCGAGGAAAAGAAAUCAACCGAGAUUCCCCCAGUAGCGGCGAGCGAACGGGGAGGAGCCCAGAGCCUGAAUCAGCAUGUGUGUUAGUGGAAGCGUCUGGAAAGGCGCGCGAUACAGGGUGACAGCCCCGUACACAAAAGCGCAUGUGCUGUGAGCUCGAUGAGUAGGGCGGGACACGUGGUAUCCUGUCUGAAUAUGGGGGGACCAUCCUCCAAGGCUAAAUACUCCUGACUGACCGAUAGUGAACCAGUACCGUGAGGGAAAGGCGAAAAGAACCCCGGCGAGGGGAGUGAAAAAGAACCUGAAACCGUGUACGUACAAGCAGUGGGAGCACAGGUUUACCUGUGUGACUGCGUACCUUUUGUAUAAUGGGUCAGCGACUUAUAUUCUGUAGCAAGGUUAACCGAAUAGGGGAGCCGGAGGGAAACCGAGUCUUAAUUGGGCGUUAAGUUGCAGGGUAUAGACCCGAAACCCGGUGAUCUAGCCAUGGGCAGGUUGAAGGUUGGGUAACACUAACUGGAGGACCGAACCGACUAAUGUUGAAAAAUUAGCGGAUGACCUGUGGCUGGGGGUGAAAGGCCAAUCAAACCGGGAGAUAGCUGGUUCUCCCCGAAAGCUAUUUAGGUAGCGCCUCGUGAAUUCAUCUCCGGGGGUAGAGCACUGUUUCGGCUAGGGGGCCAUCCCGGCUUACCAACCCGAUGCAAACUGCGAAUACCGGAGAAUGUUAUCACGGGAGACACACGGCGGGUGCUAACGUCCGUCGUGAAGAGGGAAACAACCCAGACCGCCAGCUAAGGUCCCAAAGUCAUGGUUAAGUGGGAAACGAUGUGGGAAGGCCCAGACAGCCAGGAUGUUGGCUUAGAAGCAGCCAUCAUUUAAAGAAAGCGUAAUAGCUCACUGGUCGAGUCGGCCUGCGCGGAAGAUGUAACGGGGCUAAACCAUGCACCGAAGCUGCGGCAGCGACGCUGAUGCGUUGUUGGGUAGGGGAGCGUUCUGUAAGCCUGCGAAGGUGACCUGUGAGGGUUGCUGGAGGUAUCAGAAGUGCGAAUGCUGACAUAAGUAACGAUAAAGCGGGUGAAAAGCCCGCUCGCCGGAAGACCAAGGGUUCCUGUCCAACGUUAAUCGGGGCAGGGUGAGUCGACCCCUAAGGCGAGGCCGAAAGGCGUAGUCGAUGGGAAACGGGUUAAUAUUCCCGUACUUGGUGUUACUGCGAAGGGGGGACGGAGAAGGCUAUGUUGGCCGGGCGACGGUUGUCCCGGUUUAAGCGUGUAGGUGUGUGUUCCAGGUAAAUCCGGUUCACUUUAACACUGAGGCGUGACGACGAGGCACUACGGUGCUGAAGCAACAAAUGCCCUGCUUCCAGGAAAAGCCUCUAAGCAUCAGGUAACACGAAAUCGUACCCCAAACCGACACAGGUGGUCAGGUAGAGAAUACCAAGGCGCUUGAGAGAACUCGGGUGAAGGAACUAGGCAAAAUGGUGCCGUAACUUCGGGAGAAGGCACGCUGACACGUAGGUGAAGUGAUUUACUCAUGGAGCUGAAGUCAGUCGAAGAUACCAGCUGGCUGCAACUGUUUAUUAAAAACACAGCACUGUGCAAACACGAAAGUGGACGUAUACGGUGUGACGCCUGCCCGGUGCCGGAAGGUUAAUUGAUGGGGUCAGCGCAAGCGAAGCUCCUGAUCGAAGCCCCGGUAAACGGCGGCCGUAACUAUAACGGUCCUAAGGUAGCGAAAUUCCUUGUCGGGUAAGUUCCGACCUGCACGAAUGGCGUAAUGAUGGCCAGGCUGUCUCCACCCGAGACUCAGUGAAAUUGAACUCGCUGUGAAGAUGCAGUGUACCCGCGGCAAGACGGAAAGACCCCGUGAACCUUUACUAUAGCUUGACACUGAACAUUGAGCCUUGAUGUGUAGGAUAGGUGGGAGGCUUUGAAGUGUGGACGCCAGUCUGCAUGGAGCCGACCUUGAAAUACCACCCUUUAAUGUUUGAUGUUCUAACGUGGACCCGUAAUCCGGGUUGCGGACAGUGUCUGGUGGGUAGUUUGACUGGGGCGGUCUCCUCCUAAAGAGUAACGGAGGAGCACGAAGGUUGGCUAAUCCUGGUCGGACAUCAGGAGGUUAGUGCAAUGGCAUAAGCCAGCUUGACUGCGAGCGUGACGGCGCGAGCAGGUGCGAAAGCAGGUCAUAGUGAUCCGGUGGUUCUGAAUGGAAGGGCCAUCGCUCAACGGAUAAAAGGUACUCCGGGGAUAACAGGCUGAUACCGCCCAAGAGUUCAUAUCGACGGCGGUGUUUGGCACCUCGAUGUCGGCUCAUCACAUCCUGGGGCUGAAGUAGGUCCCAAGGGUAUGGCUGUUCGCCAUUUAAAGUGGUACGCGAGCUGGGUUUAGAACGUCGUGAGACAGUUCGGUCCCUAUCUGCCGUGGGCGCUGGAGAACUGAGGGGGGCUGCUCCUAGUACGAGAGGACCGGAGUGGACGCAUCACUGGUGUUCGGGUUGUCAUGCCAAUGGCACUGCCCGGUAGCUAAAUGCGGAAGAGAUAAGUGCUGAAAGCAUCUAAGCACGAAACUUGCCCCGAGAUGAGUUCUCCCUGAGACUUAGAGUCUCCUGAAGGAACGUUGAAGACGACGACGUUGAUAGGCCGGGUGUGUAAGCGCAGCGAUGCGUUGAGCUAACCGGUACUAAUGAACCGUGAGGCUUAACCUU